GACGAACGCUGGCGGCGUGCUUAACACAUGCAAGUCGAACGGAAAGGCCCUGCUUUUGUGGGGUGCUCGAGUGGCGAACGGGUGAGUAACACGUGAGUAACCUGCCCUUGACUUUUGGAUAACUUCAGGAAACUGGGGCUAAUACCGGAUAGGAGCUCCUGCUGCAUGGUGGGGGUUGGAAAGUUUCGGCGGUUGGGGAUGGACUCGCGGCUUAUCAGCUUGUUGGUGGGGUAGUGGCUUACCAAGGCUUUGACGGGUAGCCGGCCUGAGAGGGUGACCGGCCACAUUGGGACUGAGAUACGGCCCAGACUCCUACGGGAGGCAGCAGUGGGGAAUCUUGCACAAUGGGCGGAAGCCUGAUGCAGCAACGCCGCGUGCGGGAUGACGGCCUUCGGGUUGUAAACCGCUUUCGCCUGUGACGAAGCGUGAGUGACGGUAAUGGGUAAAGAAGCACCGGCUAACUACGUG
rnacentral:rRNA from 1 species